ensembl:misc_RNA Metazoa_SRP Metazoan signal recognition particle RNA
GCCAGGCUCAGUGGUGCGUACCUGUAGUCCCAGCUACUGGGGAGGCUGAGGUGGUAGGCUCGCUUGAACCAAGGAGUUCUGGGCUGUAGUGCGAUAUGCCCAUCGGGUGUCCACAUUAAGUUCAGCAUCAAUAUGGUGAACUCCCGGGAGCGGGGACCACCAGGUUGCCUAAGGAGGGGUGAACCAGCCCAGUUAAGAAACAAAGGAGGUCAAAACUCCCGUGCUGAUCAGUAGUGGGAUCACACCUGUGAAUAGCCACUGCACUCCAGCCUGGGCAACAUAGCAAGAUCCUGUCUAUA